UCAGGAUGAACGCUGGCGGCGUGCUUAACACAUGCAAGUCGAACGGUGAAGCCCAGCUUGCUGGGUGGAUCAGUGGCGAACGGGUGAGUAACACGUGAGCAACCUGCCCCUGACUCUGGGAUAAGCGCUGGAAACGGCGUCUAAUACUGGAUAUGUGACGUGACCGCAUGGUCUGCGUCUGGAAAGAAUUUCGGUUGGGGAUGGGCUCGCGGCCUAUCAGCUUGUUGGUGAGGUAAUGGCUCACCAAGGCGUCGACGGGUAGCCGGCCUGAGAGGGUGACCGGCCACACUGGGACUGAGACACGGCCCAGACUCCUACGGGAGGCAGCAGUGGGGAAUAUUGCACAAUGGGCGCAAGCCUGAUGCAGCAACGCCGCGUGAGGGACGACGGCCUUCGGGUUGUAAACCUCUUUUAGCAGGGAAGAAGCGAAAGUGACGGUACCUGCAGAAAAAGCGCCGGCUAACUACGU
rnacentral:rRNA from 1 species